AUUGAACGCUGGCGGCAGGCCUAACACAUGCAAGUCGAACGAGUGGCGGACGGGUGAGUAAUGUCUGGGAAACUGCCUGAUGGAGGGGGCUAACUACUGGAAACGGUAGCUAAUACCGCAUACCAUCAGAUGUGCCCAGAUGGGAUUAGCUAGUUGGUGGGGUAACGGCUCACCAAGGCGACGAUCCCUAGCUGGUCUUAGAGGAUGACCCGCCAAACUUGAAAUUAGACACGGUUCAGGACCCCACGGGAGGGAGCAGUGGGGAAUAUUUGCAAAUGGGGGAAAGGCUGAUGGAGGCAAGCCGCGGUGAUGAAGAAGGCCUUCGGGUUUGAAAGUACUUUCAGCGGGGAGGCGUUACCCGCAGAAGAAGCACCGGCUAACUCCGUGCCAGCCGCCGCGGUAAUUC
rnacentral:rRNA from 1 species